CAAUAGCGUAUAUUAAAGUUGUUGCAGUUAAAAAGCUCGUAGUUGGAUUUCUGGUAGGAGUGACCGUGCCAGACUUGAUUGUCUGUGUAUUGUGUUGUCUCCAGCCAUCCUUGUGGAGAACUUUUCUUGCAUUAAUUUGUAGGGAUUGGGACCCGCAUCGUUUACUGUGAAAAAAUUAGAGUGUUUAAAGCAGGCAAUCGCUUGAAUACAUUAGCAUGGAAUAAUAAGAUAGGACUUUGGUACUAUUUUGUUGGUUUGCAUACCAAAUUAAUGAUCAACAGGAACAGUUUGAGGAUAUUCGUAUGAACAUGUCAGAGGUGAAAUUCUUGGAUUUUGAUCAGACGAACUACUGCGAAANCANNNAUCAAGGAUGUUUUCAUNAA
rnacentral:rRNA from 1 species